rnacentral:rRNA from 1 species
GACGAACGCUGGCGGCGUGCCUAAUACAUGCAAGUAGAACGCUGAAGGAGGAGCUUGCUUCUCUGGAUGAGUUGCGAACGGGUGAGUAACGCAUAGGUAACCUGCCUGGUAGCGGGGGAUAACUAUUGGAAACGAUAGCUAAUACCGCAUAAGAGUAGAUGUCGCAUGACAUUUGCUUAAAAGGUGCAAUUGCAUCACUACCAGAUGGACCUGCGUUGUAUUAGCUAGUUGGUGAGGUAACGGCUCACCAAGGCAACGAUACAUAGCCGACCUGAGAGGGGGAUCGGCCACACUGGGACUGAGACACGGCCCAGACUCCUACGGGAGGCAGCAGUAGGGAAUCUUCGGCAAUGGACGGAAGUCUGACCGAGCAACGCCGCGUGAGUGAAGAAGGUUUUCGGAUCGUAAAGCUCUGUUGUAAGAGAAGAACGAGUGUGAGAGUGGAAAGUUCACACUGUGACGGUAUCUUACCAGAAAGGGACGGCUAACUACGUG